CCUACGGGUGGCAGCAGUGAGGAAUAUUGGUCAAUGGGCGCGAGCCUGAACCAGCCAAGUCGCGUGAAGGAUGAAGGCUCUAUGGUUUGUAAACUUCUUUUAUAUAGGAAUAAAGUGAGGAACGUGUUCCUUUUUGUAUGUACUAUAUGAAUAAGCAUCGGCUGACUCCGUGCCAGCAGCCGCGGUAAUACGGAGGAUCCGAGCGUUAUCCGGAUUUAUUGGGUUUAAAGGGUGCGUAGAUGGGUUGUUAAGUCAGUGGUGAAAGUUUGUGGCUCAACCGUAAAAUUGCAGUUGAUACUGGUAGACUUGAGUAUAUUUGAGGUAGGCGGAAUGCGUGGUGUAGCGGUGAAAUGCAUAGAUAUCACGAAGAACUCCGAUUGCGAAGGCAGCUUACUAAACUAUAACUGACACUGAUGCACGAAAGUGUGGGGAUCAAACAGGAUUAGAUACCCGAGUAGUC
rnacentral:rRNA from 1 species